rnacentral:rRNA from 1 species
GCUCGCCGGAAGACCAAGGGUUCCUGUCCAACGUUAAUCGGGGCAGGGUGAGUCGACCCCUAAGGCGAGGCCGAAAGGCGUAGUCGAUGGGAAACAGGUUAAUAUUCCCGUACUUGGUGUUACUGCGAAGGGGGGACGGAGAAGGCUAUGUUGGCCGGGCGACGGUUGUCCCGGUUUAAGCGUGUAGGCUGGUUUUCCAGGCAAAUCCGGAAAAUCAAGGCUG